ACGGAGGGUGCGGGCGUUAUCCGGAAUCACUGGGUUUAAAGGGUGCGUAGGCGGGGAGAUAAGUCAGAGGUGAAAGCUCAUCGCUCAACGAUGGAAUUGCCUUUGAUACUGUUUUUCUUGAAAUAUGUUGAGGUUGGCGGAAUGAGACAUGUAGCGGUGAAAUGCAUAGAUAUGUCUUAGAACACCGAUUGCGAAGGCAGCUGACUGGACAUUAUUUGACGCUGAGGCACGAAAGCGUGGGGAUCAAACAGGAUUAGAUACCCUGGUAGUCCACGCCCUAAACGAUGUUUACUUGCUGUUUGUCUUUCGGGAUGAGUGGCGAAGCGAGAGCGAUAAGUAAACCACCUGGGGAGUACGCCCGCAAGGGUG
rnacentral:rRNA from 1 species